GAUGAAGAACGUAGCGAAAUGCGAUAAGUAGUGUGAAUUGCAGAAUUCAGUGAAUCAUCGAAUCUUUGAACGCACAUUGCGCCCUUUGGUAUUCCAAAGGGCAUGCCUGUUCGAGCGUCAUUGCUGCCCUCAAGCACGGCUUGUGUGUUGGGCCUCCGUCCUCCUCCCGGGGGACGGGCCCGAAAGGCAGCGGCGGCACCGCGUCCGGUCCUCGAGCGUAUGGGGCUUCGUCACCCGCUCUUGUAGGCCCGGCCGGCGCUUGCCGACACAUCAAUCUUUUUUCCAGGUUGACCUCGGAUCAGGUAGGGAUACCCGCUGAACUUAAGCAUAUCAAUAAGCGGAGGA
rnacentral:misc_RNA from 1 species